UUUUAAUAUGGGGGUAUUAAAGUAAAUAAAAAAAAAUAAUUAAAAUUUAUAGUUUAUUAGUAUUGUGAAAGAAUUUUUAAAAAAAAAUUAUUUAAAAGUAAUUUUAAUUUAAUGUAUCUUGUGUAUCAGAGUUUAUUAAUUUAUUAUAAAAAUUUAAAUUUUCUCGAAUUAAAAAGAGAUAAUUAAUUAAAAAAGUUAUUGUAACAUAAAUAUUUUUAAUAAUUAAUUUGAAAUGAAAUGUUAAUCGUUUUUUAAAAUAUCUAGUUUUUUUAGAAAAAAAUUUAAUUUUUAAUUAAUUAAAAUAAAAUUUAUAUAAAUUAAAUUUUAUUUUAAUUAAUUUAAUAAUUUAAGGGAUAAGCUUUAAAUUAAAAUGUUAUAAUUUAUUCAAAAAAAAAAUAAAAUUUUUAUUAUUUAUAUUGUAAAUAAAUUUUAAUAUAUUAUAAUUAAUUUUAUAAAAGAAAAUAUUUAAUUGAAUUUAAUUUUUUAUAAAAAAAUAUUUUUUAAUAAAUUAAAAUUAGAUAUAAUGAUAAAAUUAGUAUAAUAAUUAAAUUAUAAUAAAUGAUUUUUGUUAAUUAAUUUGAAGGAAUUCGGCAAAAUUUAUAUUCACUUGUUUAUCAAAAACAUGUCUUUUUGUUAAUAAUUUAAAGUCUAAUCUGCCCACUGAAUAAAUUUAAAGGGCUGCAGUAUUUUGACUGUACAAAGGUAGCAUAAUCAUUAGUCUCUUAAUUAGUGACUUGUAUGAAAGAUUGGAUGAAAUAUAAUCUGUCUCUUAAUUAUAAUAUUAGAAAUUAAUUUUUUAAUUAAAAAGUUAAAAUAAAUUAAAAAGACGAGAAGACCCUAUAGAGUUUUAUAAAUAGUUUAAUUAAAAAUAUUUAUAAAUUUAUUAUUUAAAAUUAAAUAAAUUAUUUUAUUGGGGUGAUAAAAAAAUUUAAAUAACUUUUUUUUUUAUUUAACAUAAAUAAGUGAGUUAUUGAUCCAUUAUUAUUGAUUAUAAGAAAAAAUUACCUUAGGGAUAACAGCGUAAUUUUUUUUUUUAGUACAAAUAAAAAAAAAAGUUUGCGACCUCGAUGUUGGAUUAAGAUUAAUUUUAAAUGCAAAAGUUUAAUAAAUUUGAUCUGUUCGAUCAUUAAAAUCUUACAUGAUCUGAGUUCAGACCGGCGUGAGCCAGGUUGGUUUCUAUCUUUUAAAUUAUAUAAUAUUUUAGUACGAAAGGAUCAGAUAUUAAAAUUAAAUUUAUUUUUUUUUUUGAAUAUUAUU
rnacentral:rRNA from 1 species